rnacentral:rRNA from 1 species
GAGUUUGAUCCUGGCUCAGAGCGAACGCUGGCGGCAGGCCUAACACAUGCAAGUCGAACGAUCCUUCGGGAUAGUGGCGGACGGGUGAGUAACACGUGGGAACGUGCCCUUUGGUUCGGAAUAACUCAGGGAAACUUGAGCUAAUACCGGAUGUGCCCUUCGGGGGAAAGAUUUAUCGCCAUUGGAGCGGCCCGCGUCUGAUUAGCUAGUUGGUAGGGUAAAGGCCUACCAAGGCUACGAUCAGUAGCUGGUCUGAGAGGAUGAUCAGCCACACUGGGACUGAGACACGGCCCAGACUCCUACGGGAGGCAGCAGUGGGGAAUCUUGCGCAAUGGGCGAAAGCCUGACGCAGCCAUGCCGCGUGAAUGAUGAAGGUCUUAGGAUUGUAAAAUUCUUUUCACCGGGGACGAUAAUGACGGUACCCGGAGAAGAAGCCCCGGCUAACUUCGUGCCAGCAGCCGCCGUAAG